rnacentral:rRNA from 1 species
ACGGGAGGCAGCAGUGGGGAAUAUUGCACAAUGGGCGAAAGCCUGAUGCAGCGACGCCGCGUGAGUGAAGAAGUAUUUCGGUAUGUAAAGCUCUAUCAGCAGGGAAGAAAAUGACGGUACCUGACUAAGAAGCUCCGGCUAAUACGUGCCAGCAGCCGCGGUAAUACGUAUGGAGCAAGCGUUAUCCGGAUUUACUGGGUGUAAAGGGAGCGUAGACGGUAUGGUAAGUCUGAAGUGAAAGCUCGGGGCUCAACUUCGGAAUUGCUUUGGAAACUAUCAUACUAGAGUGCAGGAGAGGCAAGUGGAAUUCCUAGUGUAGCGGUGAAAUGCGUAGAUAUUAGGAGGAACACCAGUGGCGAAGGCGGCUUGCUGGACUGUAACUGACGUUGAGGCUCGAAAGCGUGGGGAGCAAACAGGAUUAGAUACCCUGGUA